CUACAGGCCUAACACAUGCAAGUCGAGGGGAAACGGCAGCUUAGCUUGCUAAGCUGGACGUCGACCGGCGCACGGGUGAGUAACGCGUAUCCAACCUGCCCCACGGUGAGGGAUAACCCGCGGAAACGCGGCCUAAUACCUCAUGGUCUCCGAGCUUGCCAUCAACCUUGGAGUAAAGAUUCAUUGCCGUGGGAUGGGGAUGCGUCUGAUUAGCUUGUUGGCGGGGCAACGGCCCACCAAGGCAACGAUCAGUAGGGGUUCUGAGAGGAAAGCCCCCCACAUUGGAACUGAGACACGGUCCAAACUCCUACGGGAGGCAGCAGUGAGGAAUAUUGGUCAAUGGGCGAGAGCCUGAACCAGCCAAGUAGCGUGCAGGAAGACGGCCCUAUGGGUUGUAAACUGCUUUUAUGCGGGGAUAAAGCGGGCGACGUGUCGCCCUUUGCAGGUACCGCAUGAAUAAGGACCGGCUAAUUCCGUGCCAGCAGCCGCGGUAAUACGGAAGGUCCGGGCGUUAUCCGGAUUUAUUGGGUUUAAAGGGAGCGCAGGCCGGGUAUUAAGCGUGUUGUGAAAUGUAGGCGCCCAACGUCUGCACCGCAGCGCGAACUGGUGCCCUUGAGUACGCACGACGUUGGCGGAAUUCGCCGUGUAGCGGUGAAAUGCUUAGAUAUGGCGAAGAACUCCGAUUGCGAAGGCAGCUGACGGGAGCGCUACUGACGCUCAUGCUCGAAAGCGCGGGUAUCGAACAGGAUUAGAUACCCUGGUAGUCCGCGCGGUAAACGAUGGAUGCCCGCUAUUUGCGCAUUAGCGCAAGUGGCCAAGUGAAAACGUUAAGCAUCCCACCUGGGGAGAACGCCGGCAACGGUGAAACUCAAAGGAAUUGACGGGGGCCCGCACAAGCGGAGGAACAUGUGGUUUAACUCGAUGAUACGCGAGGAACCUUACCCGGGCUUGAAUUGCAGAGGAAGGAUUUGGAGACAAUGACGCCCUUCGGGGUCUCUGUGAAGGUGCUGCAUGGUUGUCGUCAGCUCGUGCCGUGAGGUGUCGGCUUAAGUGCCAUAACGAGCGCAACCCCUCUCCUUAGUUGCCAUCAGGUCAAGCUGGGCACUCUGGGGACACUGCCACCGUAAGGUGUGAGGAAGGUGGGGAUGACGCCAAAUCAGCACGGCCCUUACGUCCGGGGCUACACACGUGUUACAAUGGCAGGUACAGAGAGACGGUCCCUUGCAAAAUGGAUCAAAUCCUUAAAGCCUGUCUCAGUUCGGACUGGGGUCUGCAACCCGACCCCACGAAGCUGGAUUCGCUAGUAAUCGCACAUCAGCCAUGGCGCGGUGAAUACGUUCCCAGGCCUU
rnacentral:rRNA from 1 species